UACGAAGGGGGCUAGCGUUGCUCGGAAUCACUGGGCGUAAAGCGCACGUAGGCGGCUUUGUAAGUCAGGGGUGAAAUCCUGGAGCUCAACUCCAGAACUGCCUUUGAUACUGAAGAUCUUGAGUUCGGGAGAGGUGAGUGGAACUGCGAGUGUAGAGGUGAAAUUCGUAGAUAUUCGCAAGAACACCAGUGGCGAAGGCGGCUCACUGGCCCGAUACUGACGCUGAGGCACGAAAGCGUGGGGAGCAAACAGG
rnacentral:rRNA from 1 species